CCCUCAAACCCUAGCACCUAGGGUUUUGAAGGGGGUGCCCUAUCAUGUGGGCGCCUCCUUUAUAUGGCCGCCCAAGCUCCCAUCUUCCAGGUCUCCAUGCCUCCUCUUCUCUACUGGUUGGGGGCUUGAAGAAGGAUAUUUUUAGAUCUAGAAUGGAGGGUUUUAGAUCUGGUAUCGAUAGGGUUCAAGGAGAGGAAGAACAAAGUGAAGAUGGGCAAGGGCUGCAGAUUUACAGAAGGCUGCAGGAUCUCUCUCUCU
rnacentral:lncRNA from 1 species